rnacentral:rRNA from 1 species
CUAUAAGUUAAACGGCCGCGGUAUUUUGACCGUGCAAAGGUAGCGCAAUCACUUGUCUUUUAAAUGAAGACCUGUAUGAAUGGUGGAACGAGGGCUUGACUGUCUCCCUCAUCUAGUCAAUGAAAUUGAUCUACCCGUGCAGAAGCGGGUAUUAUAAUACAAGACGAGAAGACCCUUUGGAGCUUAAGACAAAAGACCAACUAUGUCAAGAGUACUAAAAAUGAAACUAAACCCAAUAACGACUGGUCCCAGUCUUCGGUUGGGGUGACCGCGGGAGAAAAUUAAGCUCCCAUGUGGACUGGGGCAACCCCCCAAAACUAAGAAAGACAUCUCUAAGGCACAGAACAUCUGACCAUAAAGAUCCGGCUAUGCGCCGACCAACGGACCAAGUUACCCUAGGGAUAACAGCGCAAUCCCCUUCCAGAGUCCC